rnacentral:rRNA from 1 species
AUGAACGCUAGCGGCAGGCUUAACACAUGCAAGUCGAGGGGCAGCGAGGGUAGCAAUACCUGUCGGCGACCGGCGGAAGGGUGAGUAACGCGUGAGCAACAUACCCGUAUCAGUGGGAUAAUACAGGGAAACUUGUUCUAAUAUCGCAUAAUAUUAUUCAGAGGCAUCUUUGGAUAAUUAAAGUUACGGCGGAUACGGAAUGGCUCGCGUGACAUUAGCUAGAUGGUAGGGUAAUGGCCUACCAUGGCGAUGAUGUCUAGGGGUUCUGGGAGGGAGGUCCCCCACACUGGAACUGAGACACGGUCCAGACUCCUACGGGAGGCAGCAGUGAGGAAUAUUGGACAAUGGAUGGAAAUCUGAUCCAGCCAUGCCGCGUGCAGGAAGGCGGCCCUAUGGGUUGUAAACUGCUUUUGUACGGGAGCAAUAAGGUCUACGAGUAGAUUGAUGAGAGUACUGUACGAAUAAGCAUCGGCUAACUCCGUG